AGUGAACGCUGGCGGUAGGCCUAACACAUGCAAGUCGAACGGCAGCACAGUAAGAGCUUGCUCUUACGGGUGGCGAGUGGCGGACGGGUGAGGAAUACAUCGGAAUCUACUUUUUCGUGGGGGAUAACGUAGGGAAACUCACGCUAAUACCGCAUACGACCUACGGGUGAAAGCAGGGGAUCUUCGGACCUUGCGCGAUUGAAUGAGCCGAUGUCGGAUUAGCUAGUUGGCGGGGUAAAGGCCCACCAAGGCGACGAUCCGUAGCUGGUCUGAGAGGAUGAUCAGCCACACUGGAACUGAGACACGGUCCAGACUCCUACGGGAGGCAGCAGUGGGGAAUAUUGGACAAAGGGCGCAAGCCUGAUCCAGCCAUACCGCGUGGGUGAAGAAGGCCUUCGGGUUGUAAAGCCCUUUUGUUGGGAAAGAAAAGCAGCAGGUUAAUACCCCGCUGUUCUGACGGUACCCAGAGAAUAAGCACCGGCUAACUUCGUG
rnacentral:rRNA from 1 species